AUACAUAGCUGGCAGGGUAGAUGCCGUGAUCACAAAGGUGAGGUUUCCAGGGCAAGGUUUAUCUAUUGCACUCUGGAUGCGCUGACCCUUAUGGUUUCCCCAAAUGCCAGAAACUCAACUGCAUAAUUGUGGUAGUGGGCUACUGCCUUACAGCCUUCCCCUG